rnacentral:rRNA from 1 species
GACGAACGCUGGCGGCGUGCCUAAUACAUGCAAGUCGAACGCAUUUUCUUUCACCGUAGCUUGCUACACCGAAAGAAAAUGAGUGGCGAACGGGUGAGUAACCCUUGGGUAAACUGCCCAUCAACGGGGGAUAACACUUGGAAACAGGUGCUAAUACCGCAUAAUUCCAUUUACCGCAUGGUAGAUGGGUGAAAGGCGCUUUUGCGGCUCUAUUGGAUCGACCCGCGGUGCUUUAGCGAGUUGGUGGGGUCACGGCCUACCAAGGCUGCGAUGCAUAGCCGACCGGGGGGGGGGGUCGGCCACACUGGGAGUGAGACACGGCCCAGACCCCAUCGGGGGGGAGCAGGAGGGAAUCUUCGGCAAGGGAGGCAAGUCUGGCCGAGCAACGCCGGGGGAGUGAAGAAGGUUUUCGGGACGUAAAACUCUGUUGUUAGGGAAGAAAAAGAAGGAGAGUGGAAAGUUCAUCCCUUGACGGUAUCUAACCAGAAAGCCACGGCUAACUACGUG